UCAUCUUGUUCGAAUCAAGCUGAGAAGGUUUCGAAAAUCUCUAUUCCUUGGCUUAGGUUCAUGGAUUUCUUACUGUAGUUUAAUGAUCUUGGUCCAAAUCGG